rnacentral:rRNA from 1 species
AUUGAACGCUGGCGGCAGGCUUAACACAUGCAAGUCGAGCGGGGUGAUGGUGCUUGCACUAUCACUUAGCGGCGGACGGGUGAGUAAUGCUUAGGAAUCUGCCUAUUAGUGGGGGACAACAUCUCGAAAGGGAUGCUAAUACCGCAUACGUCCUACGGGAGAAAGCAGGGGAUCACUUAUGACCUUGCGCUAAUAGAUGAGCCUAAGUCGGAUUAGCUAGUUGGUGGGGUAAAGGCCUACCAAGGCGACGAUCUGUAGCGGGUCUGAGAGGAUGAUCCGCCACACUGGGACGGAGACACGGCCCAGACUCCUACGGGAGGCAGCAGUGGGGAAUAUUGGACAAUGGGGGGAACCCUGAUCCAGCCAUGCCGCGUGUGUGAAGAAGGCCUUAUGGUUGUAAGGCACUUUAAGCGAGGAGGAGGCUUACCUAGUUAAUACCUGGGAUAAGUGGACGUUACUCGCAGAAUAAGCACCGGCUAACUCUGUGCCAGCAGCCGCCGUAA